CGCAGCCAAAUAACACUAGACCCCACUCAUAGUGUUGUGUUCCUGCCGGUGAGUAAGGUUGCCAGAGCUCAACGAGGGUGCGGAGUUGUUAGGGUCGCCAACGCGCAUGUAACUCCUCUGGAGUUGCAGGCGUACAUAGGCUAUGGAGACUGCUUAACAUCAGGCGGGCCGUUUGCUUGUUUGCCACCGACGUAGUAUAAAAAAAAUAGAUUGUAAUGAAA